rnacentral:lncRNA from 10 species
UUUCUUAGCCCAACAUGAGAGGCUUACACAUGUACCCCUUUUCCCCAAACUUGUGAACUUGUCUGAUAUGUAGUCUCAAGUUUAUAAGCUUCCCUUAGAAAAAGUUCUAUUUCAUUUCUACAAAUCAUACUUCUCUCAUUUUAUAAUCCUUGAAAUGGAUAGUGCUGCCUCAUCUUAGAUGAGGCAUUCAACAGUUUUAAUUUCUAAGUUAUAAAUUAUUAUUUCUUCUUCUUUUUUAAACGUCUUAGAGACAAAUCUGUCUAUUUCACAUAGGAAGCCAGUUGAGUUGUUCCUCACGCUUUCCCCACGAAGCUGCAUCUGAAGGACUUCCUCACCCCCCCGCUGUGAUCACAAGUUAUGCCUCACAGAUUCAUUUCCUUAUGAAUGACUUCAGGAAGCCAGCAUUUUUAAUAAAUAGGAAGUAAAUUAUAUUUAAUGACUAAAUUCUCACCUAAAGUUGAUACUAAUAUUACAAUAACUCUCUUGUGCCCUAUUUUGGUGUUUUAAACUUCUUUGCUGUACAUUUAAGAAAAUCAGAAUUUCAGUAGACUCCUCGUGCAGUCUGAGGAGGCAGUUUCCUAUCUGGUUUGACUUAAGGGGCUGCAGAAGACAUUCUUAUCCCACAUAUUUCUUCUGCUGAUCAGUCAGCAACUGAAAUUCCAACUAAUGGAUUCCAUUCUUCCAGUUAAGACAUCAUCUCCAGAAAACUGUGCUAGUUGGCAUCCAGCAGUGCCCAAGUAUUAUUUAACCCACUAGAACCUGUGACUGCAUCAGCUUUAUAUCCUGGACCUCAGCCUGGAACAAAGGAGAGCUACACUUGGAUACUAAACACAAGUGGUCUGGAUAGAUUAUGCUGGGAAAAGAAGCCUGGAGCAGGCAGUACAGUGGGAGAACAAGACAGAAGUGCUUGCCUUGGUGAUCCAAAAAAGGCAGGAUCCGGCCGGGGGCAAGGUGAUUAUUCUGUCUGAUGAGGAGAAUAAGAGCCAGUUUGUGGUAUUGACAGAAGAAUGAAAGUAAAGUUCAACCAAUCUACAAAGGCCAAAAAUAUUUUCACAGGCCCCCAAAAGAUGAACUCCAAUCUGCUGCCCCUAAACGCAUUCUCCACUGUCUGGAAGAUGUGCAAAGGCAACGGCACAGCGUUCUCCAUCUCAAAUCCUUCAAAGUGCUGUCAGAAUAAAAGAAUCCCCACCAAAAGCCCCAGGGAAAUCUAUCUGUCUGUAUGGUAUGGUAAUGACUGAGGUUAUUCCAGAUAGGAUUCUGGGAGAAACUCAGCUAUUGAAAUCUAAUGAAUGGAACUGAGAAUUUCUUGUUAUAAUACUGUUUGUUUGAUUGAAUAUAUCCUUGCAUAUAGGAAGACAUAAAAAUAAAUAAUAAAAGCAAGAUAUUAUUUGAAUUUUUGUUUGAUUAUAUAAUCUGAGAAUUUUUCUGGUAAGUAAUUUUGCAUCUGGAUUUAUUUUUUCUGCCAGUCACUUGCCUUUCUAGUUUUAUGUCAUUUUUAUCUCUUUCCUAUUUUAAUGUCAGCACCUAGGUUUACAUUAAGGAUUGUAUUUUUUUAAUCACCAGGGAUUACAACAAUUUAUGUUCCUUUUCUAGCUGC